UACAGAGGGGGCAAGCGUUGUUCGGAAUUACUGGGCGUAAAGGGCGCGUAGGCGGCCCUGCUAAGUCGAACGUGAAACUCCCCGGGCUCAACCCGGGAACUGCGUCCGAAUACUGGUGGGCUUGAAUCCGGGAGAGGGAUGCGGAAUUCCAGGUGGUAAGCGGUGAAAUGCGUAGAUAGUCUGGAGGAACACCGGUGGCGAAGGCGGCAUCCUGGACCGGUAGUUGACGG
rnacentral:rRNA from 1 species